rnacentral:rRNA from 1 species
GACAGAGGUGCCGAGCGUUAGGCGGAAUCACUGGGCUUAAAGCGUGUGUAGGCGGAUCGUUAAGUGCCUUGUGAAAUCCCACGGCUCAACCGUGGAACUGCUUGGCAUACUGGCGAUCUUGAGCCACUUAGGGGCUACCGGAACAAAUGGUGGAGCGGUGAAAUGCGUAGAUAUCAUUUGGAACGCCAAUGGUGAAAACAGGUAGCUGGGAGUGUGCUGACGCUGGAGAACACGAAAGCCAGGGGAGCGAAACGGG